UUCUGUAAGCCUGCGAAGGUGGCCUGUGAGGGUUGCUGGAGGUAUCAGAAGUGCGAAUGCUGACAUAAGUAACGAUAAUGCGGGUGAAAAGCCCGCACGCCGGAAGACCAAGGGUUCCUGUCCAACGUUAAUCGGGGCAGGGUGAGUCGACCCCUAAGGCGAGGCCGAAAGGCGUAGUCGAUGGGAAACAGGUUAAUAUUCCUGUACUUGGUGUUACUGCGAAGGGGGGACGGAGAAGGCUAUGUUAGCCGGGCGACGGUUGUCCCGGUUUAAGCAUGUAGGCGGAGGUUCCAGGUAAAUCCGGUACCUUUUAACGCUGAGGUGUGAUGACGAGGCACUACGGUGCUGAAGUAACAAAUGCCCUGCUUCCAGGAAAAGCCUCUAAGCAUCAGGUAACAUUAAAUCGUACCCCAAACCGACACAGGUGGUCAGGUAGAGAAUACCAAGGCGCUUGAGAGAACUCGGGUGAAGGAACUAGGCAAAAUGGUGCCGUAAC
rnacentral:rRNA from 1 species